AUUGAACGCUGGCGGCAGGCCUAACACAUGCAAGUCGAACGAGUGGCGGACGGGUGAGUAAUGUCUGGGAAACUGCCCGAUGGAGGGGGAUAACUAAUGGAAACGGUAGCUAAUACCGCAUACCAUCGGGUGUGACCAGAUGGGAUUAGCUAGUAGGUGGGGUAAUGGCUCACCUAGGCGAAGAUCCCUAGCUGGUCUGAGAGGAUGACCAGCCCCACUUGAAGUUAGACACGGUCCAGACUCCUCCGGUAGGCAGCAGUGGUGAAUAUUGCACAAUGGGCGCAAGCCGUAUGCAGCCAUGCCGCGUGUAUGAAGAAGGCCUUCGGGUUGUAAAGUACUUUCAGCGAGGAGGCGUUACUCGCAGAAGAAUCACCGGCUAACUCCGUGCCAGCAGCCGCGGUAAUAC
rnacentral:rRNA from 1 species